rnacentral:rRNA from 1 species
UACGUAGGGGGCUAGCGUUGUCCGGAAUCAUUGGGCGUAAAGAGCGCGUAGGCGGCCCGGUAAGUCCGCUGUGAAAGUCCAGGGCUCAACCCUGGAAUGCCAGUGGAAACUGUCGGGCUAGAGUACGGAAGAGGCGAGUGGAAUUCCUGGUGUAGCGGGUGGAAAUGCGCAGAUAUCAGGAGGAACACCAAUAGCGAAGGCAGCUCGCUGGGACGUUACUGACGCUGAGGCGCGAAAGCGUGGGGAGCAAACAGG